rnacentral:miRNA from 1 species
AUGCGAGCCGGACCUUUGCGCCU